GAGAGGAUGUUGUCUGCCAUCAGAGUGACCUCGUUCCUUCAGAGAGGAUGUUGUCUGCCAUCAGAGUGACCUCGUUCCUUCAGAGAGGAUGUUGUCUGCCAUCAGAGUGACCUCGUUCCUUCAGAGAGGAUGUUGUCUGCCAUCACAGUGACCUCGUUCCUUUGAGAGGAUGGUGUCUGCCAUCACAGUGACCUCGUUCCUUUGAGAGGAUGUUGUCUGCCAUCAGAGUGACCUCGUUCCUUCAGAGAGGAUGUUGUCUGCCAUCACAGUGACCUCGUUCCUUUGAGAGGAUGUUGUCUGCCAUCACAGUGACCUCGUUCCUUUGAGAGGAUGUUGUCUGCCAUCAGAGUGACCUCGUUCCUUCAGAGAGGAUGCUGUCUGCCAUCAGAGUGACCUCGUUCCUUUAAACACCUCCUCUUGCAGCUCCACUGAAUUGUAAUUAGCCCACGUGUUCAUUUCCAGUUAGCAUAGCUAGUUCACGCUGUGGAGUAAUGACCAGAAUCUGUACUGAACAUCAUUACAAGCUGUGGACUAUUCUGGGGACUUGAACUAUACGCUAUUCUACCAGCAUACUGUAGGCCUACACUUUCCCCCCUCACAUAAACAUUCAAAACAAUAGCCUAUGGGCUCCUCUAAUCAGUGAACCUGUUUUCUAUCCGCGUUGUUACAUUUAAUUUAUCCCAUGUUGAAUUAAUUAUUACAAAAACACAAUAGGAAUCUGAACCUAAAUUGUACUUUGAGAAAAAAUAUGUUUAUGAUCUAAAAUAAUGAGUAAUUAAUGAUGUAUCCCGUGUAAAAUGGAGAGCCCUUGGUCUGUUCUAUGACUACCGUGUUACUGCAGAGAGAGAGAGAGCUGUGUGAGGUACAGACAGGGUUAUUGGAGUUUAAUGCAAGCGGAUGUCGGUUUAAUUGAUUGAAACAAAUUACCUCAGCAUGGAUCCCUGUUCUCAUGCUCAGGCCGAUGGACACGGCCCGAGGAGUGGAGAGGGGGGAGGGGAAACGAUUGGCUGCUCUGGGCCAUAGAGAGACCUGAGCCCCUGACACUGCCUGCUGGGAUAUAGACGGAUGAUACGAUGGUCCCACAUAGGGAUGUUUUUAGUGAGCUUCAGUUGAGUUAUAUCAUUCAAAAUGUCAGUCGUAAUUGCACUGGCAUGAGAAAUCUUCCUAUUUAUUUUUCUUAGAUUGUGCAGUCGGUGUCUUCUCUCUGAUCAAUGGUUUGAUCGGAUCAGACGUCUCACGGUCUCUCAUCACAGCCGUGUAAUGGAAGAUUGACUAAUUGACUGUAAUUAAAUAAUGGAGAGGUAACAAGGUUCAGCACUAUGGUCAUUCAAUAAUUACACUUUUGCUACUAUGAUGUCACCGAGUGUAGCCACAUUUCUGAUUGAUGUAAAAUCUCAUAUAUUCAGAGACAAUUUGCAGUCUUUCUCUGAGAACAUUAUGGAAUACUCAAUUUUUUUUAUCGACCAGGAUAUCUUAUCAAGGACUAUUUGAUUGACUGAUUGAGGGCUGUUAGUGUGACUGGCAAUGCAUUCUGGGAAAGGUCAUCCCUCUUCAGUCCGCACCGUAGACAAGACUCCACUGGUGCUGGGAGCAAUAGAAUAUCAAUGUCCAAGGUCUCACUACAGGAAGUCCAGCCUGGGUAAUGUGCACAUUACGGAAGACUAUACACUGACAACAAAUAUCUACUAAAUCGAUGGUGUGGUUGUUUGUGAUGUCAAUAGAGUACGCAUUCCCCUGUAACCCCAGGAAUGGGAGUUGUUUUAAAUCCUACAGAAAGAUAGAGCAGUGUUCUGUUUGAGCUAUCGAUCUGGAGGGCCAAUAGAGUACAGUAUAGUAGAAUAGAGUGGAAUAAAGUAGAAUAGAAUAUAGUAGAAUAAACUAUAAUAAAGUAGAAUAGAGUAGAGUAGAAUAGACUCUAAUAAAUUAGAAUAGAGUAGAGUAGUCAGAAUAUAGUAGAAUAGAGCAGAUUAGAAUAGAAUAGACUAGAAUAGAGUAGAGUAGAAAAGGAAGAGCAGAAUAGAGUAGAAUAGAGUAGAAUUGUGAGAAUAGAGUAGUAGAAACAGUAUAAAUAGUAGAAUAGAGUAGAGUAGAAUAGUGUGGAAUAGGGUAGAAUAGAGUAGAAUUGUGUUGAACAGAGUAGUAGAAAUAGUACAAAUAGUAGAAUAGAGUAGAGUAAAAAAGUGUAGAAUAGAGUAGAUUAGAGUAGAGUAUAAUAGUGUAGCGUAGCGUAGAGUAGAAUAAAGUAGAGUAGAGCAGAAUAGAGUAGAGUAGAGUAGAGUAGAGUAGAGUAGAAUAGAAUAUAGUAGAAUAGAAUGGAGCAGAAUAUAAUAUAAUAGAGUAGAAAAGAGUAGAGCAGAGUAGAAUAUAAUAUAGUAGAGUAGAAUAGAGUAGAAUAGAGUAGAAUAGAAUAGAGUAGAAUAUAAUAUAGUAGAAUAGAAUAGAGUAGAAUAGAGAAGAAGAGAGUAGAAUAUAAUAGAGUAGAGUAGAAUAGAAUAGAGUAGAAUAGAAUAGAGUAGUUUAGAAUAGAGUAAAGUAGAUUAGAAUAUAGUAGAAUGGAGUGGAAUAGAGUAUAGUAGAGCAGAAUAUAAUAGAGUAGAAUAGUGUAUAAUAGAGUAGAAUAGAGUAGUGCAGAAUAGAGUAGAAUAGAGUAGAGUAGAAUAGACUAGAAUAGAGUAGAAUAGAGCAGAAUAGAGUAGAGUAGAAUAGAUUAGAAUAGAAUAGAGUACAGUAGAAUAGAAUAGCGUAGAGUGGAGUAGAAUAUAGUAGAAUAGAGUAGAGUAGAAUAGAGUAGAGCAGAAUAGAGUAGAAUAUAAAAGAGCAGAGUAGAAUAUAAUAGAAUAGAGUAGAAUAUAGAAGAAUAUAGUGGAGUAGAAUAGAGUAGAAUAGAAAAUAGUAGAAUAGAGUAGAGUAGAAUUGAAUAGAAUAGAGUAGAGUAGAAUUGAAUAGAAUAGAGUAGAGUAGAAUAUAAUGGAAUAUAAUAGAGUAGAGUAGAAUAGAAUAAAAUAGAGUAGAGUAGAAUAUAAUAUAGUAGAGUAGAAUAUAGUAGAGUAGAAUAGAAUAGAGUAGAGUAGAAUAGAGUAGAGUAGGAGAGUAGAACAUAAAAGAGCAGAGUAGAAUAGAGUAGAAUAUAAUAGAAUAGAGUAGAAUAUAGAACAACAGAGUGGAGUAGAAUAGAGUAGAAUAGAGUAGAAUAGUGUAGAGUAGAGUAGAAUAGAUUAGAGUAGAAUAGAAUAGAUUAGAAUAUAGUAGAAUAGAGUAGAGUAGAGUAGAAUAGAAUAAAGUAGAGAAGAAUGGAAAAAAGUAGAGUAGAAUAGAGUAGAGCAGAGCAGAGUGGAGUAGAAUAGAGUAGAGCAGAGCAGAGUGGAAUAGAGUAGAGUAGAAUAAAGUUGAAUAGAGUAGAGUAGAAUAGAAUAGAAUAGAGUAGAAUGGAGUGGAAUAGAGUAGAGUAGAAUAGAGUGGAAUAGAGUAGAAUGGAGUGGAAUAGAGUAGAGUAGAAUGGAGUAGAAUAGAGUAGAGUAGAAUAGAAUGGAAUAGAGUAGAAUGGAGUGGAAUAGAGUAGAGUAGAAUGAAGUAGAAUAGAGUAGGGUAGAAUAGAAUAGAGUAGAAUGGAGUGGAAUAGAGUAGAGUAGAGUAGAGUAUAAUGGAGUGGAAUAGAGUAGAGUAGAGUAGAGUAGAAUGGAGUGGAAUAGAGUAGAGUAGAAUGGAGUAGAAUAGAGUAGAGUAGAAUAGAAUGGAAUAGAGUAGAAUGGAGUAGAAUAGAGUAGAAUAGAAUGGAGUAGAAUAGAGUAGAGUAGAGUAGAAUAGAGUAGAAUGGAGUGGAAUGGAGUAGAGUAGAGUAGAAUGGAGUGGAAUAGAGUAGAAUAGAGUAGAGUAGAAUGGUGUAGAAUCCUCUUGAGAGCCACAUCUGAGGCAUAAACACCAGGUAAUUAAAGAGAUGUCCUGUCUUGUCUGUGUUCUUGUGUUGAGAUGGCAUACAUUACCCAGUACACUGCUAUGGUUGCACUCAACUCUGGCACUCUCUCACAUGAUAUCACAUACCAAGUUCUGUGGUUGUAGAGUAGUGUAGUGUGGUGUGGUGUAUUGUAGUGUAGUGUAGUGUAGUGUAGUGUGGUGUGGUGUGGUGUGGUGUGGUGUGGUGUGGUGUGAUGUGGUGUAGUGUAGUGUAGUGUGGUGUGGUGUAGUGGUAUAGUGGUGUGGUGUGGUGUGCUGGUGUGCUGGUGUGGUGUGGUGGUGUGGUGUAGUGGUGUGGUGUGGUGUAGUGGUGUAGUGGUGUGGUGUAGUGGUGUAGUGGUGUAGUAGUGUGGUGUGGUGUGGUGUAGUGGUGUGGUGUAGUGGUGUGGUGGUGUGGUUUGGUGGUGUGGUGGUGUGGUGUAGUGGUGUGGUGUAGUAGUGUGGUGGUGUGGUGUGGUGUAGUGGUGUGGUGGUGUGGUGUGGUGGUGUGGUGUAGUGGUAUAGUGGUGUGGUGGUGUGGUGGUAAGGUGUGGUGGUGUAGUGGUGUGGUAUGGUGUAGUGGUGUGGUGGUGUGGUGUGGUGGUGUAGUGGUAUAGUGGUGUGGAGUAGUGGUGUAGUGGUGUAGUGGUGUGGUGUAGUAUAGUAUAGUGUAGUGUGGUGUGGUGGUGUGGUGUGGUGUGGUGUGGUGGUGUGGUGUAGUGGUGUGGUGUGGUGUAGUGAUGGUUUGGUGUGAUAUAGUGGUGUGGUGGUGUGGUGUAGUGGUGUGGUGUGGUGGUGUGGUGUAGUGGUGUGGUGUGGUGGUGUGGUGGUGUGGUGGUGUGGUGUAGUGGUGUAAUGGUGGUGCUGGUGUGGUGUAGUGGUGUGGUGGUGUGGUGUAGUGGUGUGGUGGUGUGGUGUAGUGGUGUGGUGGUGUGGUGUGGUGUAGUGGUGUGGUGUGGUGGUGUGGUGUAGUGGUGUGGUGUAGUGUGGUGUAGUGGUGUGGUGUAGUGGUGUGGUGUAGUGUGGUGUAGUGUGGUGUAGUGGUGUGGUGUGGUGGUGUAGUGGUGUGGUGGUGUGGUGUAGUGGUGUGGUGUAGUGGUGUAGUGUGGUGUAGUGGUGUGGUGUGAUAUAGUGGUGUGGUGGUGUAGUGUGGUGUAGUGGUGUAGUGUGGUGUGGUGUGAUAUAGUGGUGUGGUGGUGUAGUGGUGUAGUGUGGUGGUGGUGUAGUGGUGUGGUGGUGUGGUGUGGUGUAGUGGUGUGGUGUAGUGGUGUGGUGGUGUGGUGUAGUGGUGUGGUGUAGUGUAGUGUAGUGUGGUGUAGUGAGUGGUGUCGUGUAGUGUAGGGUAGUGUGGUGUAGUGGUGUAGUGUAGUGUAGUGUAGUGUGGUGUGGUGUGGUGUAGUGUGGUGUAGUGUAGUUGUGUAGUGUGGUGUAGUGUAGUGGUGUAGUGUAGUGUAGUGUUGUAGUGUGGUGUAGUGUAGUGUAGGAUAGGGUAGUGUAGUGUGGUGUGCUGGGGUGUAGUGGUGAAGUGUGGUGUAGUGUGGUGUAGUGUGGUGGUGUAGUGUAGUGUAGUGGUCUAGUGUAGUGGUGUGGUGUGGUGUAGUGUGGUGCAGUGUAGUGUAGGAUAGGGUAGUGUAGUGUAGUGUAGGAUAGGGUAGUGUAGUGUGGUGUAGUGUAGUGUAGUGUAGUGGUCUAGUGUAGUGGUGUAGUGUAGUGUAGUGUAGUGGUGUAGUGUGGUGUGGUGUGGUGUAGUGUGGUGUAGUGUAGUGUAGUGUAGUGUGGUGUAGUGGUGUAGUGUAGUAUAGUGUUGUGGUGUAGUGUAGUGGUGUAGUCUAGUGUAGUGGUGUAGUGUGGUGUGGUGUAGUGUAGUGGUGUAGUGUGGUGUAGUGUAGUAUAGUGUGGUGUAGUGGUGUUGUAGUGUGGUGUAGUGUAAUGUAGUGGUGUAGUGUGGUGUGGUGUAGUGUAGUGUAGUGUAAUGUAGUGGUGUAGUGUGGUGUGGUGUAGUGUAGUGUAGUGGUGUAGUGUGGUGUAGUGUAGUGUAGUGGAGUGUAGUGUAAUGUAGUGGUGUAGUGUGGUGUGGUGUUGUGUGGUGUGGUGUGGUGUAGUGUAGUGUAGUGUAGUGUAGUGUAGUGUAAUGUAGUGGUGUAGUGUGGUGUGGUGUAGUGUAGUGUAGUGUAAUGUAGUGGUGUAGUGUAGUGUAGUGUGGUGUAGUGUAGUGUAAUGUAGUGGUGUAGUGUGGUUUAGUGUGGUGUGGUGGGGUGUGGUGUAAUGUGGUGUGGUGUAGUGUGGUGUAAUGUAGUGGUGUAGUGUGGUGUAGUGUGGUGUGGUGUAGUGUGGUGUAGUGUGGUGUGGUGUAGUGUAGGGUAGUGUGGUGUAGUGUAGUGUAGGGUAGUGUGGUGUGGUGUGGUGUAGUGUAGUGGUGUAGUGUAGUGUGGUGGGGUGUAGUGUAGUGUGGUGUAGUGUAGUGUAGUGUGGUGUAGUGUAGUGUAGUGUGGUGUAGUGUAGUGUAAUGUAGUGGUGUAGUGUAGUGUGGUGUGGUGUGGUGUGGUGUAGUGUAGUGUGGUGUGGUGUAGUGUAGUGUAGGGUAGUGUGGUGUAGUGUAGUGUAGUGUGGUGUGGUGUAGUGUAGUGUAGUGUAAUGUAAUGUAGUGGUGUAGUGUGGUGUGGUGUGGUGUAGUGUAGUGUGGUGUGGUGUAGUGUAGGGUAGUGUGGUGUAGUGUAGUGUAGUGUGGUGUGGUGUAGUGUAGUGUGGUGUGGUGUAGUAUAGGAUAGGGUAGUGUAAGGGUGUAGUGUGGUGUAUUGUAGUGUAGUGUGGUGUAGUGUAGAGUAGGGGUGUAGUGUAGUGUAGGAUAGGGUAGUGUGGUGUAGUGUGGUGUGGUGUAGUGUAGGAUACGGUAGUGUGGUGUGGUGUAGUAUAGGAUAGGGUAGGUUGGUGUAGUGUGGUGUGGUGUGGUGUGGUGCAGUGUGGUGUGGUGUAGUGUAGGGGUGUGGUGUAGUUUAGUGUGGUGUGGUGUGGUGUGGUGUAGUGUAGUGUAGGGUUGUGGUGUAGUGUGGUGUGGUGUGAUGUGGUGCAGUGUAGUGUGGUGUAGUGUAGGGGUGUGGUGUAGUGUAGUGUGGUGUGGUGUAGUGUGAUGUGGUGUAGUGUAGGGGUGUGGUGUAGUGUAGUGUGGUGUAGUGUAGGGGUGUGGUGUAGUAUAGGAUAGGGUAGUGUGGUGUGGUGUGGUGUGGUGUAUGAUAGGGUAGUGUGGUGUGGUGUAGUGUGGUGUAGUAUAGGAUAGGGUAGUGUGGUGUGGUGUAGUAUAGGAUAGGGUAGUGUGGUGUGGUGUGGUGUAUGAUAGAGUAGUGUGGUGUGGUGUAGUGUGGUGUAGUAUAGGAUAGGGUAGUGUGGUGUGGUGUAGUAUAGGAUAGGGUAGUGUGGUGUGGUGUAGUGUGGUGUAGUAUAGGAUAGGGUAGUGUGGUGUGGUGUGGUGUAUGAUAGGGUAGUGUGGUGUAGUGUGGUGUAGUAUAGGAUAGGGUAGUGUGGUGUGGUGUGGUGUGGUGUAUGAUAGGGUAGUGUGGUGUAGUGUGGUGUAGU
rnacentral:lncRNA from 1 species